rnacentral:tRNA from 1 species
GGAGAGAUGCCCGAGUUGGUCGAAGGGGCACGCCUGGAGAGCGUGUGUACACUCGUUGUACCCUGGGUUCGAAUCCCAGUCUCUCCG